rnacentral:lncRNA from 1 species
UGCCUUGUCUUGUCCAUGAACCAGAGUUCCUUCAAGUCCUUUCUUGCUCUGCAGUUCUACAAACCAGUGAGCCUGCUCUUGCCUCCAUGCUUGUCCUAGGCUGAUGCUGCUCUGCUACUACUCAGUUAAAGAAACAUUGGCCCAAGAGGACAGGCACAAGGACAGGUGGAAGAAGAAAGCUGUCCUGCCACCAGGAGAUGGCAUGGUGGUAUGGCAGUCCCAGGUCCGAGGUCAAGGAGUGGCUGGGGAACAGAGGGAGAACUUUGAGUAUUUCUGCCUGGGUGCCCUCAGCUUGACAUUCUCUCAUUCAGCAGGGCCUCAGAGAGAGCAGACAGACACUGGAGAUCCAGGCAAGAGUAGCUCAAGGUGAGUCGUUCAUUGAGUUUCACCAUGGGGAGAUGGCCAUUGUGAAUCAGCCAUAGUCAACACUCUUUGAGGUAGAACUGAUGAGCUUUGCAGAUGCCUCAGCAGAAUUACUCCUGGACAAGUGUUGGGUGUCAGAGUCACCAGAAUUUGAUGGCAGCCCCCAGUGGAACAUAAUAAAUAGGUACAUAUCCUCAGCUAGCAGCUGAGAGGGCAGAACCAGAACCCCAGUCCUACCAGAUAUAGCCCAAGAUUCUGUAAGAAUAUCUUACAUGCUAAAGCAAGAUCCCCAAAGUGAGGACCUGAUAUGGUUAGGCUGUGUCCCCACCCAAAAUCUCAUCUUGAAUUAUCCCCACAAUCCCCACUUGUCAAGGGCAGGACCAAGGGUGGAGGUAUGGGGGCAGUUUCCCCGGAGCUGUUCUCAUGAUAGUGACUCUCACGAGAUCUGAUGGUUUUAUAAGUGUCUGACAUGUCCCCUGCUUGCACUCACUCCAUCCUGCCACCCUGUGAAGGAGGUGCCUGCUUCUCCUUUGCCUUCUGCCAUGAUUGUAAGUUCCCUGAGGCCUCCACAGCCAUGCAGAACUGUG